GUCCCCCACCAGGGGUCCCCGGCCAGCAGCGCCCCAGAGGCGGCGAGCCAGUGAGCGGGAGCCGGUGUGGACAGUAAGCGUUUAUUACCACGUGGACACAGACACCGAGGGGCGUGGACAGACUUCACACCGUGACGCUGGGAGGAGCCACUGGCACAGUGCGCCAGGCCCGGGUGCGAGGGGCACCGGGAGGAACUCGGAACCACCUAAUGAAGUGUGUGGUUUGGGGGUGUCUUUUCUAUAAACCAAAAGAAAUGUACACUUAAAUAGACAAAUAUAAAAUACAAAAAAGGCGAGUAGGCCUGGUGGUGUGCGUCAGGUAGAAUCUAAAAACAUCCAGGCAUUGACCGUUCCCCUCACGUAGGUAUUUCCUCACAGGUUAAGACUUAAGUGAAACACACCAGCUUCAGUGCGCUCGCGUGGCUGCAGACCUGGGCUGCGCUCCUCCGUCCGUCUGUCUGUUGGGGUCGUGGCUCGGGCCGCCCAUCUACGAGGUGCUGAUUCCGCUCAGCUCCUGCCGGAUGGCUGAGGAGAGGAGAGGAGAGGGGGCUCAGGUGUGGCGGGAACCCGCCCGCCCCCGCUGAGGCGGCUCCAGUGCCUCUGGUCUCCCGAGGCCCCGAUGAGGUUGUGGGGUUCCCAUGCACCCCAGCGGCAGCCGUGGGGCGGGCGGGCACCAGGAGCCCGCACAGGUCUGGGCAGGUGGGACCCCUCCCCACCCCCGAGCUCUUCUCCCAGGAGGGCAGGGGUUCUCCCCCGCAGGAUUCCCCCAAAUCCAGGCUUUUCCUUGGACUGGGCCUGGAGCCAAAGGCCACCAGAGAGUCUGAUGAGAGCUGGGCCUGUCAGAUAAAAGGCUGCUUCCAGGCCGCAGAGCCCGCCCCCCCUGGGCCCGCCCCCCGCUGAGGCCCACUGCCCCACUGCCCGCCCUCCCACACAGGCUGCUGCCCGCCCCAGGCAGCCCCUCCUGGGGGUUGCCCAGCUAUAAAGCUGAGUUAAUGGUUGGCCGGUCUCCGUUCUGGUUCCAGCUCCGUCUCACCCUCUCUAUUCAUUAACUCCUUAUCUGUCCAGCUCAGGCCUGUGGGGGCCCGAUAAACAGGAACCCAGUGUUCUCCGCUGGGACCAGAACAGGGUGUGGCUCCCUCACCCAGGUAGGCUCUCACCCUUACCUCCCCUCUCUCCGGAGUCCAGGCAGCCCUCUGCCCCCAGCUGUGACUUCAUCCCCCCUGGUGGGGAGCGGGUGGGGACUGAGGCGCCUCCCGGCUGGCCCGGGGGCCCCGUGGAGAGCCCAGUCCUCCCCUCUGGCUCCAGAUCUGAGCCGCUGCACCAAAGGCUCCGUAGGCCCGGGCGGGUGUGACUCCGGUGGCCAGGCGCUGCCUCUGGGGAGCGCCACCACCCGCACCCCCGGCCCAGGCCAAGCAGCUGGGAGGUGGUCAGGGUCACAUAACAGCUCUGCUUCCUGGGAGGUGUGUGUACUCAGCAAGUCCCUUCACUCUCCGAGCCUGUUUGCUUGACUAGAGGAUGGGGAGGGCCUGCGGGCUGUUUGGGGGAGAAUGAACCUCCCAGUACAAAGCCUGCGGCCUCGGGGCCCGGGACGCCUCCAGGCUGGGCCGCCUUGGCUCCGCCGUGCGGUUCUGGCGGCAGCGGCUCUGCCCUCCCCAGGACCAGGGUGAGCCCGACUCACCGUCGAUGAUCUCCUCCUUCACUUUGUGCAGCUCUCGGACCACCUCCUCCAGGAUCUCCUGUAGGAGCAGAGCCUCAGAGGCAGGGACGGGAAGCCGGCCUUGCAGGGUGGGGUGUCCUGGGCCUCCCCCAGGGCACAGCCCUACAUCACUCUCACCCACACCCUGGAGCUGGGAGAGGAGGUGUGUCCGGGGAUGGGACACCCUGGCCGGCCCUGCCUGGCCUCCAGCACCUCAGGCCCCUCGGGAGUGCCUGGACGGCGGGGAGGUUUAUUUCUGAUAUGGGGGGCAGGGUGGGCCUGGGGACAAAUGCUACAACCCCCUCCACUGCUGGUCCCUGACUGACUGGGCUGCAGCGAGGGCCCCACUGGCGGUCCCAGCCCGGGCUCCUCACAGCCUCAGGAAAGGACACGCUCACCUGCUUCAUCCGGUCCAAAUCGAAGGCAUCCAGGGCCACGUCGUUCACACUUCCGGCCGGCUUCAUCCUGGGGGGAGGACGGCGGGUGCAGUGAGGCAGGGCACGGAGCCUGAGCGGCACCUGGGCGCCCAGGGCCUCCUGCUUGGGGCGGGCCCUGCGGGAUGAGGCUGCCCCUUCCCGUGGCCCCUCAAACCCUCUUCGCUUGUCUGUGGCCGCUCCCCAGCUACCGGGGGUUCUGCCGCCGCCUCCAGGACCUCAGGAUGCUGUGACCAUGUUUCCCAGCCCAAGAGCUCCCAGGCGGCAGUGCCCGCGCACGGCCUCCCCGGGAAAGAAAGCACCGACAGCCAGUCCUCGCCACGGCUCUGUUCCUGGCCAAACGGGAAACCGGCAACGGCAGCUCUGAUACAACGCGAAUCGCCAAACCCGUGCAGCAAACACACCCCUCACAGGCCCGACCGCAGGCAGCAUCCUUGUCUCUCUUCGGAGACAAAGGUUUCCAUUUCCUGGGCUGCGUCUUUGAGAAGUUUCUGAACUAAAGCUGCUGGUCUGAAAUGUAACGUCUCUUCCACAUCAAUCUCUCCUGAAAAUCUUAGCAAAACGCCCGAUUUCUCUCCACGUGGACAGAGCGGUGGACGGGGCCUGCGGGUUCAGGGCAAGGACGUGGCGGGACAGCUACCAGGCCCGUGGGACACACCGUGGCGUUCGAGGACAGCGUGCGGUGAAGCCGCGGACCGGGGUGGUCCCCGGCCAGGGUUUGGUGCUGUCGCAGCCUCGCUGGGAAACAGCACGGAGGCUCCGCAAACACAGAGCCGCAGGCCCACGUCCGGGUUUUACCGGAGGAGAUGCAAUCGCUGGAGGAGGGAAUCUUGACGAGGUUCCUGCACCUCCAUGUUCGCUGCAGCAUUAGCCACAGUAGUCAGGACACGGAAGCCACCGUGUCCUUGGACAGCCGGUGGGUAAGAAGGUGUGGAACAUACAUAUGUGGAAUUAUUCAGGCGUGAGACAGAAGGAAGCCACGAUUUGUGGCACCAUGGAUGGACUAGAGGGCACGAGGCUGCGUGGACUAAGCCAGGCAGAGACAGACAGACAUGGUAUGACCUCACUUGUACGUAUUGUAGAAUCUAA